rnacentral:rRNA from 1 species
UGACCUCCAAUCAGGUAGGAAUACCCGCUGAACUUAAGCAUAUCAAUAAGCGGAGGA